AGUUAUAGAAUAUCUCAUAAAUUAAGACAUAAUGUACCAGUGUUAACUCUUGACCAUGGGGCGUAACUUGUUGUUUGAAAGCCCUUGGGCAAAGUCUUGCGUCUAAGGCAAGAGUUAUAGAAAUCUCAUAAAUCAAGGUACAAUGUGUAGUGUGAACUCUUGCUCAUGGGGUGUAACUUGUUGUAUGAAAUUCCUUCAUUUAUAGAACAUCACAUAAAUCAAGACACAAUGUGGUAGUGUUAACUCUU
rnacentral:lncRNA from 1 species